rnacentral:rRNA from 1 species
CCUACGGGGGGCUGCAGUGAGGAAUAUUGGUCAAUGGCCGCAGGGCUGAACCAGCCAAGUCGCGUGAGGGAUGACGGCCCUACGGAUUGUAAACCUCUUUUGUCAGGGAGCAAAGGGCGCCACGUGUGUCGUUUUGUGAGUACUUGAAGAAUAAGCAUCGGCUAACUCCGUGCCAGCAGCCGCGGUAAUACGGAGGAUGCGAGCGUUAUCCGGAUUUAUUGGGUUUAAAGGGUGCGCAGGUGGGAUGUUAAGUCAGCGGUAAAAUUUUGGGGCUCAACCCAGUCGUGCCGUUGAAACUGGCAGUCUUGAGUGAGCGAGAAGUAUGCGGAAUGCGUGGUGUAGCGGUGAAAUGCAUAGAUAUCACGAAGAACUCCGAUUGCGAAGGCAGCAUACCGGCGCUCCACUGACGCUCAUGCACGAAAGCGUGGGUAUCGAACAGGAUUAGAUACCCUUGUAGUC